UGGGGAAUAUUGGACAAUGGGCGAAAGCCUGAUCCAGCCAUGCCGCGUGUGUGAAGAAGGUCUUCGGAUUGUAAAGCACUUUAAGUCGGGAGGAAGGGCAGUAAGCGAAUACCUUGCUGUUUUGACGUUACCGACAGAAUAAGCACCGGCUAACUCUGUGCCAGCAGCCGCGGUAAUACAGAGGGUGCAAGCGUUAAUCGGAAUUACUGGGCGUAAAGCGCGCGUAGGUGGUUCGUUAAGUUGAAUGUGAAAGCCCCGGGCUCAACCUGGGAACUGCAUCCAAAACUGGCGAGCUAGAGUAGGGCAGAGGGUGGUGGAAUUUCCUGUGUAGCGGUGAAAUGCGUAGAUAUAGGAAGGAACCCCAGUGGCGAAGGCGACCACCUGGGCUCAUACUGACACUGAAGUGCGAAAGCGUGGGGAGCAAACAGG
rnacentral:rRNA from 1 species